rnacentral:rRNA from 1 species
UUUCGAAUCAUUCACAAUGGGCGAAAGCCUGAUGGUGCGACGCCGCGUGAGGGAUGAAGGUCUUCGGAUUGUAAACCUCUGUCACUGGGGAAGAAACGCUUUGAGUUAAUAGUUCAAAGCCUGACUUAACCCGGAGAGGAAGCAGUGGCUAACUCUGUGCCAGCAGCCGCGGUAAUACAGAGACUGCGAGCGUUAUUCGGAUUCACUGGGCGUAAAGGGUGCGCAGGAGGCCAGGUGUGUGAGGCGUGAAAGCCCGACGCUCAACGUCGGAAUUGCACCUCAAACUACAUGGCUAGAGCAUUGGAGAGGGUAGCGGAAUUCACGGUGUAGCAGUGAAAUGCGUAGAUAUCGUGAGGAACACCAGAGGCGAAGGCGGCUACCUGGACAAUUGCUGACUCUCAGGCACGAAAGCGUGGGGAGCAAAAGGG